rnacentral:rRNA from 1 species
UACGUAAGGGGCGAGCGUUAUCCGGAUUUAUUGGGCAUAAAGCGCACGUAGGCGGUCUUUUAAGUCAGAUGUUAAAUCCUUCAGCUCAACUGAAGUGCUGCAUCUGAUACUGAAAAACUAGAGUACAGGAGAGGAAAGCGGAACUCACGGUGUAGCGGUGAAAUGCGUAGAUAUCGUGAGGAACACCAGUUGCGAAGGCGGCUUUCUGGACUGUUACUGACGCUCAGGUGCGAAAGCGUGGGGAGCAAACGGG